CUCAAUAUUAUCGAUAUGUACAUGUGUUCACAUAACUAUGUACAUAACCUGUAUAGUAAAUAUAUAAACAGGACAAAUUUUAAGUAUUUCUUCAUAGACUGAAAAAUGAUGAACAAACCUUAAUUGAUUUUCAAACCUUAUCGGGCUCUCAUGAGAGAUGUCUACAUCAAUUUAACCAAUCCCAGAGAAGCAAACAACCAAUGUGUAUGUAUAAGGAUGCGUGUGAAUAUGUAUAUUAUAAUUUGCAUAUAUGUGUGUGUGUGUGUGUGUGUGUGUGUGU